CUGGCGUUUGUGUCUUUGACGUUUGUCCUGUCUUUUGGAAGGGUUCUGUGUACAGCCAAGCUCUUCUGCUGUCGAAGCUCUGCUGCAGGCUUGUCUGUGCGUCGAGUAUUUGGAGGUGUGUUGAUAUUGAUUCUGUCGUUUGGAAGGGUUCUGUGUGCAGCUAGCCAAGCGCCUCGGCUGUCGAACGUCUGCUGAAGCUUACAGGCUUGUCUGUGCGCGUCGUGUGGUAUCCUCGGUAUUCGUUCAAUGAGAGCUUCAGCUGUCGUAUACACGGCGAACGGACAGACACAAACAAACAGACAGCAUACUUGUGCACGUGACAUACGCAACAGCACACUCACGCACAUCGAGAAGGCGCACGAUGCAUUUGGCACAUACCACCAUUAAUUUGGGUUAAUGGUAUCACAGCAAACGGAACACUGCAACGAUUAAGAACAGAAAUAAGAGACAAAGGAGCAAAAUCAAGGUCUGACGGACGCGGAUAGCUCGUUUCGAAGUUUCUCCAUUGGUGAUGGGAAACGGAGCCUGAUAAGUGAUGUAUUCUGGUAAAUUAUGGGACCAUUUACCAAAUUUUUCUAUGAUCUGGACUUCCUUGCGCAAAGUCCGCAUGCAGUGAGCUCACACACGCAUAGCACACGUACAAGGUACACCCUGGUGCUGCUCUUUUCCUCGAAUCCAUCGAGAAUGGAGGCCUGGAGGAGCUUCUGUAGGAGAAGCUUUCUGCCUGUGGAAACUUAAGCCAGUUUAUUAAAGAAGGCGAUGACUCUUUGUGGAAGAGAAGAUUCAUUGGCUGUUUCUGACUACGAUGGGGAGGAUGCGUUACUCGAAAUUCAAGUUUAAGUUAGGAAAAGUAAGAAAAUGAUGUUUACUUAGUUGAUUUUUACAGCAGAGACACUGAUCUUUCGCUUUGGAAACUUUAAUCGAAUGUUUACUCCUUUUCUAUUAAUUACAGAUAAAAUUGUAUGUUGGUUGUUCCGUGAUAUUAAUUUAUAUGUUUGUAAGUGGAAUAAGAUUACUCCUUUUUUAUUAAUUACAGAUAAAAUUGCAAACAUGUUGGUUAUCUUGCGAUAUCAAUUCAUAUGUGAUACGUUCGUAUAUGUGGAAUAAAAUGGCAAGCAUGUUCAUCGAAGAAACGUCUAAUCUAUUUAAAAAAAACUUCCCACGGAUGAAUAAAAAUGUAAUAAAAUUCAUGUCUCUCACAUUUCGAUUAUUAAACGGUUAGAACACAAACGUUUAUGCAAAUUGUAGAUGCAGAAAAUGAAUUCAACCUUAAAUCCUUAAAGUUUGUCCUGUCUUCUGAAUUUCUAGCAUGUACACAGUCUAUUAACACGUUCACUGCCAGACUAAAACUCUUGAAAAUUUCUACCGUGUUUAAAUUUUCUUUACAGACUUUUGGAAACUGCGUAACGAAAUAUUUAUUUUAGUAUUUAGUUUUGUAACUUCAUCAAAAUUCAAGUAUUUCAUUUAAAUUCAUUUUCUAUGACGCUUAACUUUUAGAAUUAAUAGUUUUCGUUUUUCAGUGAAAAGCACUGUCACCCAUAUAUGGGUGAGGUGGCGAUCAACGUGUUAAUAUGAUAUACUGAUACACAAUUUUCGACUACCUAAUACCAUGUUGAAUUUCGAGUAGCAUACAAACUCCUCAUCCUAGGUCGAAACCCAGGGAAUCGGCUCGAUUCGUCGUCCUCGCGAUCACAACGACUGAUCACCUUCCUCGGCCAAAGCUGGCUUAAAUUUUCCUACCAUCGACACGAACGAAUGGCUACACUUUCAUCUCUGCCUAUGAGUCGAUAAUGUCCUUAUGUUGUCUUGUAACAUGUUUACGCAGGAGCUUGGCAAGCCUUUCAAUAACAGAAUAGCGUUUUUGCGAGCGAUGUACAAUAAUAACACUUGAUACGUUUGCGUCUAGGUGCUUGGGCAUUUCCUUCGGAGAGGAAUUUUCGUCGUUUCGUGGAGUAUUCUGUAAACGCGUGGCAAACGAGGAGCUCCUUCAUGAAUUACUGAAGCCUCGAUAACGCGAGAGGUCCACUUGCCCUCGAAAAAAAAACAAAAGAACUUCGUCGACGCUGUUCCACCAUUGUCAACACUGUUCACAUUGUUAAGUAUACUCGUCGACAUCUGUUUACUCUCCAAUAUACUUGUGGAAUAAACUAGCAAAUACGCUGGUCGUCUUAAUUUAUAUGUUUAUACCAAACAGAGGCCUUAUUGGUACCCUGUAUACUUUCAUCGACUCUUCUGAUAUAAUUUUGUAAUAAAAUUGGAAGAAUGUUGGGUGCUUGUGAUAUAAAUUUGUAUGUUUGUACCAAUUAAAGGCUUUAUUGGUGUACUGUAUGCUUUCAUCGACUCUUCUGAUAUAAUUUUGUAAUAAAAUUGGAAGAAUGUUGGGUGUCUUGUGAUAUAAAUUUGUAUGUUUGUACCAAUUAAAGGCUUUAUCGGUGUACUGUAUACUUUCAUCGACUCUUUCAAUAUAAUUGUGUACCAGAAUGAAUAAUCAAACAUGUUGACUGUAUAUGAUAUUAAUUUGUACGUCUACACCAAAUAAAGAAUUAAUAUAUCGCAUUCUUUCAUCGACAAGGAAUCUCUAGCAUUUAUCUUGAAAAAAUAUUAACCACCCACGGUGAACGUUUUGGGGAGUAUAAAUACUUAUGUGACUUGCGAUACUCUGUUAAUUAACAAGAACCAUUUUGGAUUAUAAAUUUGUAUCGAAAUGGAUGAUGGAAACAGAUGUCGAUCAGAGUGAUGAUUAAUCAAACGAAUUACAUAAUUACAACUGUUAGUGUAAUACAAGUGAUGUCGUGAUGACCAAAGAAGCUAAUUUCUAUUUGAACGUUACAAUUUCAAUAAUGUUGAAUCAACACGAUAGUAUCUCACAAAGAACCUUAUUUCUGUUUGUAUACUAGAAACUCAUGAUAACAUAUCCAUCACUGAUAACUACUUCAUUCUUCACCUUUCGCUACAUUUUUCCACAAUCUAUUCUCAAUUCUUAUUCAAUCGUAUUGCAAUUCAACUAAACGAUAACUCUAAAGUACACACCAUAGUGUAACUGAAAUUACUACGUAACCGAAUUGCUUCUGUAACUAGUAAUUCCCGGUUAUGUACAUUACAUAAUGUGUAAAUGAAUUAUUAAGUGGAAUUAUUAAGUAUUAACGGUUAGAAUCAAUAUAGAAGGUAACAGUUUAUGUAGUGUACAUUAUGUACGUGGAUUACACGCGCUAAUUGUGUACACGUGUAAUUGCCAACAGAACUAGGAUACUGUGAACAUUGUCGACAAGUUCGUGGCCAGUUUUGGUAGAACAGCGUCGACGAAACGGUUUGUCAACGACUCGAAAUUAAUCUGACCCUGAAACAAAAACUUUUAAUGAAACCAAAGAAAGACUGAGAUGUAAAUCAACCGAAGGAAGUGUCCUGUAGAGCCACGCGGAAUAUCGCGACGCAAUCUAAAAUUAACUGAAUGGCGUGAAACGGAAUAAAUAAACUGGUAAUCGACAUAGUGUGUCCAGUAUAGAGAUAGAGAAAGAGAGAAGGAGAGAGAGAGAGAGAGAGAGAGAGAGAGAGAGAGAGAGAGAGAGGGGAAAAAUAAAAAAGAAAGAAAGAAAUAGAAAUUGCAAAAGCGUACGUUGCCGUGUAUGUGUUUUCCAAGCACACAUAUAUACGCGUACACGCGUUCAUAUACGCGUAUACAUACGCGCAUGCAUUUCACAUACACGUGUGUAUGUAUACAUAUAUUUACGUAUAUACACGUAUAUACGGGUAAAUUGUGUACGUACAUACAUAUACGCAUAAACGUGCAUGCAACAAUUUAGAAGAGAAUGAUGGUUAAGAUGGAAAUUGGAAGCGAUUAGGUUUAGUGAAAUUAAGAACGGAAGGUCAAGUUCGAAGGAAGAAAUCUUUACUUCAAUUUCUUAGUUGGUCCUAUAUGCUUGGCAUAACAAGAACUUUGUCUAUUUCUAUACAAUGAAUUCCAGAAGUUAAACGCUGCCAGUAGGCAAAGUGUUAAUAUCACAGCGUAGGUAGAGUUUAACAUGUUGAAUUCGUAAAUCUUGACAAUAACACAAAAGCAAGUAAUACGAUAUUAUAUUCUAUAGUUUUCAAUUGCCUCUAGACAAAAUUUUAUCUCUGUAAACACUUCUAAGUGAAUCAGUCUGGCAGCCAACGUGUUAAAAGUAAGUAAAAUAUGUUUUCGCAAAGUGCCAGGAGAAGUUUUUGCCAAACGUCAGGAUUCUCAGGCCAAUCGACAGCUUGCAAGGAUUCCAAGGAGCUGAAAGAAGAGUAUAAAGCGUGAGGAUGUGGAUUAACCCUUCGAAAGGAACUCCUCGUGUCGAGAAUCUCAGUUUAAGUGGACCACGAAAGGCUAAAGUGAAUACAGAGGGGAAAGGUUGGAAGUUCGGGGCAAGUAAUACAAAUAAUAAAGAAAUUGCGCGAGAGAAGCGACUUCCAAGCAGAACUGCGACGAAACAGAGCAGAAACAGGCGAGUUAAUACACGUUGGAAAGACAGACACGACCAGAAGACAAACUUAGGCCUGGGCGAAGAAAGUAAGAUAGGCAGAAACAGUUGUGAAAGAAAGUCCAGUUAGAAAUUAAAAUCAAGAUGAGCGUGAAUCUCAACGUUCAAGAAAAGUAUUAUAGUAAUGUUAAAGAGCGCAGAGUAAACGAGUAAGAGAGUAACCAAGUACGUCAAACUUGAAAGCAAAAGAAUCAAAUGAAAAAUUAAAAGAAAAAAAAAAGAAAAAGAAAGAAAAGGAAACCCAAGUAGUAAGAGACAAACUGGUUAAUGGAAAAAAACAAAGAACGGUCAAACAGUGCGGAGAUUGGACUUGCGGACUAACCAUAUAGUAAUCCUGAGAGGGGGAUCUGCCUGUCACAGAUACAUUCUGCACCAGAGUUCUAUUGCUCGUCUGAAAAGUAAACUCGCAGGGGCGCGAAUCAGGUGGAUCGUGUUCAGUCUUUUUCAUGGUUCACACAUAUAGUUACACAAGCACUCGUACCCUUUAUAACCAUCGAAGAAACUUUUCUCAAUUAUUAGACUGAAAU